AGACCGAGGAUGAGCCCCAGGUAGGGGUAGAGGCCAAGGUUGGGGUAGAUCAAGAGGAGUUGAUAGGGAUGGCCAACCUCAUAAGAUAUCAUCUUGUGCUUCAUCUUCUUGUUAGAAUUUGAUGCCUCAAGAUUCGGUCUAUACUGAGCCCACAGCAAGGUCCGUGAUGAUAAACAGAGUUCAACAAGUCUAAGAUCAGCCUAAAUAGAGUUCGGAUGAAGAAGUUAUAGUCAAAGAAAAUCUGCACAGAGAUCGGAGUAGUGGAGGUCGGUGGCGAGCCAGCAGAGCUAGCAUGUGUGGCGGCAUGGGGGACGGUCACAAGCGCACGGCCCAGCAUGUGGUGCACAGCCCAGGCCCUGGCCCAGGUGGAUGCGUGUGUGGGUGCGGCCCAAGCCCAGGCAAGCCACGCCUGCACGCGGCCCACACGGGACUCUCAUACGGUCCACAUGUGGUACAUGGUACAUGGACUCUCCUGCAUGCGACCCGCUUCUCAUGGUCCACCAUAGAUCGAUGGCAUUUUGGAGCCAUUUCUCAUAGUCCACGGUACUAUUUCAUGGAUCGAUGCGUGAUCGAGUGGUUGUGGAUGAUUCUGGUCAUGAUUAGACGGUUGUCGGUGGUUCUAGGAAGAUCUGUGGGCGUGUAGCAUGUGAUGAGGCAUGAUCGAAUGGUCCAAGGAUGAGCCGAUUGAGAUCUGAUGGUUCACAGGCAUGUUCGGGUGAUAAUCGGAGUGCAUAUCCGAUCAAGGCUCGGAUUCAGUUAUUUAAAAAGGCCUAUGGCAGCGAACAGAGGGCAGCACAGCAUGGUGUGUUCGGUCGAGGACCCAGAGCUGCAACAGACUGAGAGGAGUUGACAGAAAGUAAAUGUAGGGGUGCUUUAGGCAGACUGUCAGGCAGUAGAUAGCAGUCGCUUUGAGAGUUUAUGGGGUCUUCUUAGAGAG
rnacentral:lncRNA from 1 species